rnacentral:tRNA from 1 species
GUUCACUCUGAGUGGAUAACGAAAUGGCGUUUGAAGCCAUAGGUACUGGGUUCGAGUCACAGAGUGAACA